rnacentral:rRNA from 2 species
AGAGUUUGAUCAUGGCUCAGAUUGAACGCUGGCGGCAGGCCUAACACAUGCAAGUCGAGCGGUAGCACAGAGAGCUUGCUCUCGGGUGACGAGCGGCGGACGGGUGAGUAAUGUCUGGGAAACUGCCUGAUGGAGGGGGAUAACUACUGGAAACGGUAGCUAAUACCGCAUAAUGUCGCAAGACCAAAGUGGGGGACCUUCGGGCCUCAUGCCAUCAGAUGUGCCCAGAUGGGAUUAGCUAGUAGGUGGGGUAACGGCUCACCUAGGCGACGAUCCCUAGCUGGUCUGAGAGGAUGACCAGCCACACUGGAACUGAGACACGGUCCAGACUCCUACGGGAGGCAGCAGUGGGGAAUAUUGCACAAUGGGCGCAAGCCUGAUGCAGCCAUGCCGCGUGUGUGAAGAAGGCCUUCGGGUUGUAAAGCACUUUCAGCGGGGAGGAAGGCGGUGAGGUUAAUAACCUCAUCGAUUGACGUUACCCGCAGAAGAAGCACCGGCUAACUCCGUGCCAGCAGCCGCGGUAAUACGGAGGGUGCAAGCGUUAAUCGGAAUUACUGGGCGUAAAGCGCACGCAGGCGGUCUGUCAAGUCGGAUGUGAAAUCCCCGGGCUCAACCUGGGAACUGCAUUCGAAACUGGCAGGCUAGAGUCUUGUAGAGGGGGGUAGAAUUCCAGGUGUAGCGGUGAAAUGCGUAGAGAUCUGGAGGAAUACCGGUGGCGAAGGCGGCCCCCUGGACAAAGACUGACGCUCAGGUGCGAAAGCGUGGGGAGCAAACAGGAUUAGAUACCCUGGUAGUCCACGCCGUAAACGAUGUCGAUUUGGAGGUUGUGCCCUUGAGGUGUGGCUUCCGGAGCUAACGCGUUAAAUCGACCGCCUGGGGAGUACGGCCGCAAGGUUAAAACUCAAAUGAAUUGACGGGGGCCCGCACAAGCGGUGGAGCAUGUGGUUUAAUUCGAUGCAACGCGAAGAACCUUACCUGGUCUUGACAUCCACAGAACUUUCCAGAGAUGGAUUGGUGCCUUCGGGAACUGUGAGACAGGUGCUGCAUGGCUGUCGUCAGCUCGUGUUGUGAAAUGUUGGGUUAAGUCCCGCAACGAGCGCAACCCUUAUCCUUUGUUGCCAGCGGUCCGGCCGGGAACUCAAAGGAGACUGCCAGUGAUAAACUGGAGGAAGGUGGGGAUGACGUCAAGUCAUCAUGGCCCUUACGACCAGGGCUACACACGUGCUACAAUGGCAUAUACAAAGAGAAGCGACCUCGCGAGAGCAAGCGGACCUCAUAAAGUAUGUCGUAGUCCGGAUUGGAGUCUGCAACUCGACUCCAUGAAGUCGGAAUCGCUAGUAAUCGUAGAUCAGAAUGCUACGGUGAAUACGUUCCCGGGCCUUGUACACACCGCCCGUCACACCAUGGGAGUGGGUUGCAAAAGAAGUAGGUAGCUUAACCUUCGGGAGGGCGCUUACCACUUUGUGAUUCAUGACUGGGGUGAAGUCGUAACAAGGUAACCGUAGGGGAACCUGCGGUUGGAUCACCU